GCUCACUCCAACCCAAUGUGAACGUUACCAAACUGUUGCCUCGGCGGGGUCACGCCCCGGGUGCGUCGCAGCCCCGGAACCAGGCGCCCGCCGGAGGAACCAACCAAACUCUUUCUGUAGUCCCCUCGCGGACGUAUUUCUUUACAGCUCUGAGCAAAAAUUCAAAAUGAAUCAAAACUUUCAACAACGGAUCUCUUGGUUCUGGCAUCGAUGAAGAACGCAGCGAAAUGCGAUAAGUAAUGUGAAUUGCAGAAUUCAGUGAAUCAUCGAAUCUUUGAACGCACAUUGCGCCCGCCAGUAUUCUGGCGGGCAUGCCUGUCCGAGCGUCAUUUCAACCCUCGAACCCCUCCGGGGGAUCGGCGUUGGGGAUCGGGACCCCUCACACGGGUGCCGGCCCCUAAAUACAGUGGCGGUCUCGCCGCAGCCUCUCCUGCGCAGUAGUUUGCACAACUCGCACCGGGAGCGCGGCGCGUCCACGUCCGUAAAACACCCAACUUUCUGAAAUGUUGACCUCGGAUCAGGUAGGAAUACCCGCUGAACUUAAGCAUAUCAAUAAGGCGGARGAA
rnacentral:rRNA from 1 species